rnacentral:rRNA from 1 species
UUCAGGGGUAAACCUGAGAAACCCGAAAGGUCGAAAGGGGAAAUUCAUUCGCGUUUCGACGAUCGACGCGGGGUGACGUGCGUGACGGACGGCUUCGGUUUGUUCGCACCCGUCUGCUUCGCUUGAUCGGUCUCGAACGCGUGCACUUUUCCCCUAGUAGGACGUCGCGAUCCGUUGGGUGUCGGUCUAAGGCCCGUGGCGGAGCCCCGUCGGCAUCACGCCGGCAGGACCCACGGUGUUUCCCGGCCGACUCGCUCGACGGUAUACAGAUGGCGCGGAGCCGCGACUUUAUAGUUCGCGUCCGACCCGUUGCAAGCGCGCUCGCAGCUCUGGCGAUCGGACCUAGUGCCGGUUCUGGACUCGGGUGACUGUUGGCUUCGGUGUUCUCGGACAGACUCUGACUUGAAACGCCGAUCUGCGGCGCUAUAGCUUUGGGUACUUUCAGGACCCGUCUUGAAACACGGACCAAGGAGUCUAGCAUGUGCGCGAGUCAUUGGGACAUAACUAAACCUAAAGGCGCAAUGAAAGUGAAGGUCUGCCUCGCGUAGACCGAGGGAGGAUGGGUGGUUCGCCCUCAAAGUGGCCACUCCGCACUCCCGGGGCGUCUCAUUCUCAUCACGAGAAGAGGCGCACCAAGAGCGUACACGCUGGGACCCGAAAGAUGGUGAACUAUGCCUGGUCAGGACGAAGUCAGGGGAAACC